AUUAGGCCUGAUGUUUCCCUUUUCAAUGGGCUUAUGCGACAAAUGAUGGGCCUAGUCAUUGGCCCACUUUACUCCUCCACAACCUACCAUCAUCGAGCACCCAUCGGCAGUUUCUAAAGAUUCCAGUUUCUCCACUUCGCGAUUUCUAAAGCUCCGAUCAGGGUUUUUAAGAGAUGGGGUUUAUAAUGGAAUUUGCUAAGGAUUUGGUGCUGAGAUUAAUGGAGGAUCCGAGAGAGAGAGAUAGGAAAUUCAGGGAACAUUUGUAUGAGAUGAAGGAUCGAUGCAAGAAGACAAAGGAAAUGUGGAGUUUACCACUCAGACCUUAUGGAUUUUGGACAUUUGAGAGACAUAAUUCUCAGCUUGCUUGGGAUGCUCAGAUUAGCCAAGUUCCUGGUCGCAGGGACCCGUAUGAUGAUCUCCUUCAAGAUUCCUCUAAAUGAUAAACAUUCUGCUUAGUUGGUGUAUGGCUGCAAUCGCGAAGUGAGUGCAAAGUUGCUCAAAAGCAGUGGAGCUCAGUUGCCAUUUGCAGAUUGAUAAGGAGCUUUCCUGGAGGAAAAGAGAAUGAAAACUUGUGUUUAAGCUUUUGUACUGUCAAUCUUGUAAUUUGAUUCCUGGAGGAUUGUUAGCUUGUAAUAAUUUGAAUCCUCCAGACUGGUUCGUUUGUUCUAUGAUGAAUAAUGGUCCAUAGAACGCUCAUAUUAUGGAAUAGAAUACUUGUUAAGCUUUUUAACUA